rnacentral:rRNA from 1 species
GACGAACGCUGGCGGCGCGCUUAACACAUGCAAGUCGAGCGAAGCGGCGGACGGGUGAGUAACACGUGAGUAACCUGCCUUAGACAUUGGGAUAGCCUCGGGAAACCGGGAAUAAUACCAAAUGGUCUAAGAUGGACUCGCGUCACAUUAGCUGGUUGGUGAGGUAACGGCCCACCAAGGCGACGAUGGGUAGCCGGCCUGAGAGUGUGAACGGCCACAUUGGGACUGAGAUACGGCCCAGGCUCUACGGGAGGCAGCAGUGGGGGAUAUUGCGCAAUGGUCGAAAGCCUGAUGCGGCGACGCCGCGUGGGGGAUGAAGGCUUUCGGGUUGUAAACCUCUUUCGCUAUGGCUCACUAUAGGGUGGGUUGAGGGUAGGUGGAGAAGAAGCGCCGGCUAACUACGUGCCAGCCGCCGCGGUAAUUC